GAUGAACGCUGGCGGCGUGCUUAACACAUGCAAGUCGAACGGGAAAUACUUUAUUGAAACUUCGGUCGAUUUAAUCUAUUUCUAGUGGCGGACGGGUGAGUAACGCGUGGGUAACCUGCCUUAUACUGGGGGAUAACAGCCAGAAAUGGCUGCUAAUACCGCAUAAGCGCACGGGGCCGCAUGGUCCUGUGUGAAAAACUCCGGUGGUAUAAGAUGGACCCGCGUUGGAUUAGCUAGUUGGCAGGGCAGCGGCCUACCAAGGCGACGAUCCAUAGCCGGCCUGAGAGGGUGAACGGCCACAUUGGGACUGAGACACGGCCCAGACUCCUACGGGAGGCAGCAGUGGGGAAUAUUGCACAAUGGGGGAAACCCUGAUGCAGCGACGCCGCGUGAAGGAAGAAGUAUCUCGGUAUGUAAACUUCUAUCAGCAGGGAAGAUAAU
rnacentral:rRNA from 1 species